rnacentral:sRNA from 1 species
GCGCCUUCGGACCAGAGCCACACAGAGUAGUGUGCAGUGAGCUGGCUAACGGUUUGGCUGCAAGAUAUUCACACCUCCAGUUUCCCCGUGGCAUUCAGAUUACGAUUACCGAUAGCUGUUGCCAGUAGCUGUGGCAGUAGCUGCUACCAGUUCCAGCAUCGAGUGCCAGCUAACUCCAUCGUGUACGCCUGUUUGGGGGACCAACUGCAUUGCCACUACGAUUACGUAUAUAGUAUAUAUUUAUGUAUAUUCUGAUAUAUGCGAAAAUGAAUAGCUAUAGUUUGGUUAAUUGCUUGCAGAAAUGUUAACACUUGUUUGGCUUUCGAUCAAAUUGCAACUACAAUGAACAAUAACAAUAAAAUGCUACACGCUACAUAAAUUUCAAUUUCGAAUACGAGUAUGUAAUAUAUUGGAUUCCAAUGCUGAAUCUACCCGAAAGUUUUGAUUAAACUAGUUUUUAAUUUGUAGUAUAUAUUGGUCCAAGGGUUUUUGAUUAUUCAUUUGAUUUGUAUGUAAUUUUUGUUUGCUUUGAUAUUUGAUUAAGUUUUAAGUUUUAUUUUCUGAAAGUUUCCAUUCUUCAUGAUCUUGAAGUACAUAUUUUUAUUCAAUUACUACUCCAGUUUCCUUCACUAUCCAAAAAAUUCUCCCUUCUAAGUUUCCUUUAUUUCUUUAAAUUUGUCUUCAAUUCCUAUAUUUCUUCUACAUUCUCAUCCAUAAAAUUCAUACGUUUCUAAUCGUUUUCUCUUCGUUAAUGAUCUAAAAAUGUAUAAUCUUCUUGUUGUAAAGUCAAUCUUUUCAAAUUUCAAAUAAAUGUUCCCUUUUCAUGUCAUAAAAUGUUCCCUAAACAGAAUCAGACUUUAGAGUUUGAUAUUUUCUGAAAACCAAAGAAUUCAAUUUAGAAACCAAAGCAUAAAAAUCUAGUAACCAAAGGACCAAAAAAUGAUAAAACCAAAGAGUAAUUAUUUUUCAAUUGCAUUUUAUAUUUUAUUAAUACACAAAACUUAAAUAAAAUAAUAGAAUUUAAACUCUACAUACCUACAAUACAAUACGUAAUAGUCAUAAGCAUAAUAAUAGAUAAUAAUAAUAAUAGUACACAAUAGUGAUAUUGUCGUUUACAGUUAUUGUACAAUGUAAGAAAUUCUAUUCCGUUUUCCGUUUUCUUUUGUUCUUCUAAACAUUUUCCUGUUUCUUUUGUUGUUUUCCAUACUGUUCUAUUGUUAAGAUUUCUUUAAGAUAUUCUCUCUGUAAAAAUGAAAUGUUGCUGCUUUCGAAUACCGGGAAUACUAUAUCGUGUGUAUAUAUAUAGUCUAGGUAAAUAUUUAGAGAGAGAGUGAAAAAAGGUAUAAUAUAAUACAAAAAAAAAAAAACAAUUGUGUGUGUGUGUCUGAGUAUAUAAGCGCUUUUCCGUGUGAUAGAUCUGAACUUUGCUUUCACUUCACUGAAAUUCGCUUUGCUUGGCUUUGUUUUCACAUCACUUAAAAGUCUAACGAUUUUUUGGUCCAAUAAUAGUUGCGGUGAUACAGGGGGUGUGGUUAUGGGAGGGGGAAGGUACUGGGUUUUCUGGGUGAUCAAAAAAAUAAAUAUGCUUUUCUUGGAAGAAACAA